CAGUCGAGCGGAACGAGUUAUCUGAACCUUCGGGGGACGAUAACGGCGUCGAGCGGCGGACGGGUGAGUAAUGCCUAGGAAAUUGCCCUGAUGUGGGGGAUAACCAUUGGAAACGAUGGCUAAUACCGCAUGAUGCCUACGGGCCAAAGAGGGGGACCUUCGGGCCUCUCGCGUCAGGAUAUGCCUAGGUGGGAUUAGCUAGUUGGUGAGGUAAGGGCUCACCAAGGCGACGAUCCCUAGCUGGUCUGAGAGGAUGAUCAGCCACACUGGAACUGAGACACGGUCCAGACUCCUACGGGAGGCAGCAGUGGGGAAUAUUGCACAAUGGGCGCAAGCCUGAUGCAGCCAUGCCGCGUGUGUGAAGAAGGCCUUCGGGUUGUAAAGCACUUUCAGUCGUGAGGAAGGUGGUGUUGUUAAUAGCUGUAUCAUUUGACGUUAGCGACAGAAGAAGCACCGGCUAACUCCGUGCCAGC
rnacentral:rRNA from 1 species